UGAAACAUUGUCCUCGCCCUCACUUCAAAGUUGGUAAUUUGCAGAGGAUACAAAGUUAGACUGCACAGGCCCUAUUUCAUGACUUCUUAGAAGCUACAUUUCAGCCGGUAGGUGUCAAAUAGCUAGUAUUACCCUAAUAGUUUAAAUGAAGGCACCAGUCAUUAGGAAUGCGAGAACAGUCGGGGUAACCCAGACUUUUUUUUACGAGAGUGAUAUCUUACAACUUUGGCGUAAACAAUACAAUGCUUCACUCGUGCUUCUUUUUGGUAUGAUUCGGUUAGAAACCAGGCCUAAUUUAUCCCUUUUAAACCGGGAAGCGCGCGCUUGGGUUCUGCUCAGUCACACAAGUGCCCAUCAAACUCCGCGCCGCGGGCCGGACGAGCCCGGCAGUGACAAGGCGAAUCAAGGUACCCGUCUCGUCUUGACAGUGUUUGUAAACCUCUUGUUUCCACGGAUCAUUAUGAUCAGAGCUUUGCGGGGCCCGCGUGGCUCGUCUGAGCGGUGAUUAUUACAACGUUGAUGAAUGGGGAUCGCGUUUCUUCUAAUAGCCGCCCCCUAUUUUCACAACCUCCCACCGCUAACCUGAGAGCUCUCUGCCGCGACCUCCACUAAUUGGACUGAUUAUUGCAAGAUGUUUUAGAGAGCCCAUGGUGGCGCAGGGACAUGGUUUUCCGCGGCCUACACAGGGAACGGCUCUACGGGGGUUGAUGAGGGCAGGGAGGAAUGGAGCAGGAAUGAAGAGAUCUUGUCUUAAUUUACUGACAGCUAAGCCAGGUGAAGCUAUGCUACAAGGUGGGUCAAAGAGGCCUCUGGGGUAGCCGUGGCGGACAGACUCCCUGAGUCAUGUCUCAGAGUGCUGGGUGAACAAGUGCAGUCCACCAACGCUGCCAGGGCCCAGAUCGAUCCUGCAGGUCUGGGACAGGGCUGGGGACGAGUGGAGGGUGGCUGGAGAGGAGGAUGGAGGGAUGGACGAAUGAAUGGAGCAGACCUUUUGGCUGAAGUACCCCAGCUUGGACACACGCCCCUGAACAGAGCGCUCAUUGUUCCUCCGCGGCUCACUCCUUCUCUGCUUAAUUAAAGUGAAAUUGCUGAAGAAAGCGUCGCAACCCAGAGCCCAGUUCUGCGUUCAGACGUGGAGUGGAGUGGGCUUCCUCAGGGGAGAAGGGGGAUAUCUGUCUUCUGGCUUUUAUCAACCGCUGCAAGGAAUCAAAACUCUUCCACCCCCUAAGUCCUCCAUACCUCAUUCAACCCCCUGCAUAGGAGAAGCACACAGACACAGACAUGCACACAUAUAUGUUCACACACACACACACACACACACA